GGAAGGGCAUAGCCCACUGGUAGAACAUCUGCUUUGCUUGCAGAAGGUCCCAGAUUCAAUUCCUGGCAUUUCCA